CUACGGGCGGCUCCAGCUAAGAAUCUUCCGCAAUGGACGAAAGUCUGACGGAGCGACGCCGCGUGAACGAUGAAGGCCGUGAGGUUGUAAAGUUCUUUUCCGAGGGGAGAAUAAGGAUGGCAGGGAAUGGCCGUCUGAUGACGUGAACUCGGGAAUAAGCCCCGGCUAACUACGUGCCAGCAGCCGCGGUAACACGUAGGGGGCGAGCGUUGUUCGGAAUCAUUGGGCGUAAAGGGUGCGCAGGCGGUGACGCAAGGCUGGUGUGAAAGAUCUCGGCUCAACCGAGGGAACGCGCUGGAAACUGUGUCACUAGAGUACAGGAGGGGGAGUUGGAAUUCCAGGUGUAGGGGUGAAAUCUGUAGAUAUCUGGAAGAACACCGGUGGCGAAGGCGAACUUCUGGCCACGUACUGACGCUGAGGCACGAAGGCGUGGGGAGCAAACAGGAUUAGAUACCCUAGUAGUC
rnacentral:rRNA from 1 species